rnacentral:rRNA from 1 species
CAGUAGCCGCGGUAAAACGGAGGGUGCAAGCGUUAAUCGGAAUUACUGGGCGUAAAGCGCACGCAGGCGGUCUGACAAGUCAGAUGUGAAAUCCCCGGGCUUAACCUGGGAACUGCAUUUGAAACUGUCAGGCUGGAGUCUUGUAGAGGGGGGUGGAAUUCCAGGUGUAGCGGUGAAAUGCGUAGAGAUCUGGAGGAAUACCGGUGGCGAAGGCGGCCCCCUGGACAAAGACUGACGCUCAGGUGCGAAAGCGUGGGGAGCAAACAGGAUUAGAUACCCGAGUAGUCCCUGUCUCUUAUAC